GAUGAACGCUGGCGGCGUGCCUAAUACAUGCAAGUCGAGCGAAUGGAUUAAGAGCUUGCUCUUAUGAAGUUAGCGGCGGACGGGUGAGUAACACGUGGGUAACCUGCCCGUAAGACUGGGAUAACUCCGGGAAACCGGGGCUAAUACCGGAUAACAUUUUGAACCGCAUGGUUCGAAAUUGAAAGGCGGCUUCGGCUGUCACUUAUGGAUGGACCCGCGUCGCAUUAGCUAGUUGGUGAGGUAACGGCUAACCUAGGCAACGAUGCGUAGCCGACCGGAGAGGGUGAUCGGCCACACUGGGACUGAGACACGGCCCAGACUCCUACGGGAGGCAGCAGUAGGGAAUCUUCCGCAAUGGACGAAAGUCUGACGGAGCAACGCCGCGUGAGUGAUGAAGGCUUUCGGGUCGUAAAACUCUGUUGUUAGGGAAGAACAAGUGCUAGUUGAAUAAGCUGACACCUUGACGGUACCUAACCAGAAAGCCACGGCUAACUACGUGCCAGCCGCCGCAGUAA
rnacentral:rRNA from 1 species